UUGCAUUUUUCAGAUCUAGAUCAAAACUCUCAAAAUUUUCUCUCAAAAAUUUCUUCUAAUUUCUUCAAACAAGAACACAUUUCAUUGCUUGAUUCUUGAUCCUGAGGUGUUAUUGAGUAAUUUGCACGUAGAAUCAAGAGAAUUCAUGCAAGAUUGAAGUAUCCACAAAGCUUGAAGCAUUAAUGGUGAUGUCAAAUUCUGGUGGAUUCGUGCACAAUUA
rnacentral:lncRNA from 1 species